rnacentral:rRNA from 1 species
AAUCCAUAGGUUAAUGAGGCGAACCGGGGGAACUGAAACAUCUAAGUACCCCGAGGAAAAGAAAUCAACCGAGAUUCCCCCAGUAGCGGCGAGCGAACGGGGAGGAGCCCAGAGCCUGAAUCAGCAUGUGUGUUAGUGGAAGCGUCUGGAAAGGCGCGCGAUACAGGGUGACAGCCCCGUACACAAAAGCGCAUGUGCUGUGAGCUCGAUGAGUAGGGCGGGACACGUGGUAUCCUGUCUGAAUAUGGGGGGACCAUCCUCCAAGGCUAAAUACUCCUGACUGACCGAUAGUGAACCAGUACCGUGAGGGAAAGGCGAAAAGAACCCCGGCGAGGGGAGUGAAAAAGAACCUGAAACCGUGUACGUACAAGCAGUGGGAGCCCCACCACCAAAGCAUUCUAUGGUGUUGAAGGCCCUGCAAAGCAGCAUCGCGGUGGCGGAGCGUCGUUUGCGACGCCCAACACACAAAACAAGCGGUGAGUGC